rnacentral:sRNA from 2 species
CCUCACUUCAUUGGGGAGUAGCCGCUUUUUACGCAAUGUAAAAAGGUGAUGGUCAACAUAAUUGUUCAACAGAACAUGGUCAUCAUAGCAAAGAACCAAUUAAGCUUUUCCAAAAGCUUUUUUUUGUUGGCAAGACCUUUGAU